AAUCUUUAUCAAAUACUUAAGAUAACAAAUUAGUUAACUUCCUGAUUUCAGCUCACACAAAACAUUACAAAACAAAAUCAAUAUAAUAAUCGAAACAAAUCUAUAAACUCAUCAGUACUCCAAUUUUUACAUUGCUCAUAAGUUAAUUUUUUUCUUUGAAAGAUAACAAAGUAACAUAAAAGUAAGCAAGAGGAAGAUCUCCUGCUUGUCUCAAGCAAUACA
rnacentral:lncRNA from 1 species